GAUGAAGAACGUAGCGAAAUGCGAUAAGUAAUGUGAAUUGCAGAAUUCAGUGAAUCAUCGAAUCUUUGAACGCACAUUGCGCCCUCUGGUAUUCCGGGGGGCAUGCCUGUUCGAGCGUCAUUAUAACCACUCGAGCUCUCGCUUGGUAUUGGGGUUCGCGGUUCCGCGGCCCCUAAAAUCAGUGGCGGUGCCUGUCGGCUCUACGCGUAGUAAUACUCCUCGCGAUUGAGUCCGGUAGGUCUACUUGCCAGCAACCCCCAAUUUUUACAGGUUGACCUCGGAUCAGGUAGGGCUACCCGCUGAACUUAAGCAUAUCAAUAAGCGGCGGA
rnacentral:misc_RNA from 1 species